rnacentral:rRNA from 1 species
UACGGGGGGGGCAAGCGUUGUUCGGAAUUACUGGGCGUAAAGGGCUCGUAGGCGGCCAACUAAGUCAGACGUGAAAUCCCCCGGCUUAACCAGGGAACUGCGUCUGAUACUGGAUGGCUUGAGUUUGGGAGAGGGAUGCGGAAUUCCAGGUGUAGCGGUGAAAUGCGUAGAUAUCUGGAGGAACACCGGUGGCGAAGGCGGCCACCUGGACGGUAACUGACGCUGAGACGCGAAAGCGUGGGGAGCAAACAGG